UAAAGCGUGCGCAGGCGGUUAUGCAAGACAGAUGUGAAAUCCCCGGGCUCAACCUGGGAACUGCAUUUGUGACUGCAUAGCUAGAGUACGGUAGAGGGGGAUGGAAUUCCGCGUGUAGCAGUGAAAUGCGUAGAUAUGCGGAGGAACACCGAUGGCGAAGGCAAUCCCCUGGACCUGUACUGACGCUCAUGCACGAAAGCGUGGGGAGCAAACAGGAUUAGAUACCCAGU
rnacentral:rRNA from 1 species